UACAGAGGGUGCAAGCGUUAAUCGGAAUUACUGGGCGUAAAGCGUGCGUAGACGGUUACAUAAGUCGGGUGUGAAAGCCCCGGGCUCAACCUGGGAAUUGCAUUCGAGACUGCGUAGCUAGGGUGCGGAAGAGGGAAGCGGAAUUUCCGGUGUAGCGGUGAAAUGCGUAGAUAUCGGAAGGAACACCAGUGGCGAAGGCGGCUCACUGGACCGGUUCUGACGCUGAGGCGCGAAAGCUAGGGGAGCAAACAGG
rnacentral:rRNA from 1 species